rnacentral:misc_RNA from 1 species
AACCAUAGAAACCUGCGGAGUACCUGCGGAAGGAUCAUUACAGAGUUGCAAAACUCCCUAAACCAUUGUGAACGUUACCUAAACCGUUGCUUCGGCGGGCGGCCCGGGUCCUUCCCGGCGCCCAUCGGCCCUCGCGGGCGCCCGCCGGAGGUAAACCAAACUAUUGCAUUGUAUGGCCUCUCUGAGUCUUCUGUACUGAAUUAGUCAAAACUUUCAACAAUGGAUCUCAGAUCGGAAGAG